rnacentral:tRNA from 1 species
GAUAGUUUGGCUAAGUUGGUAAAGCGUUGCGUUAAUAAAGCAAAUGUCGUGGGUUCGAUACCCCUAUAUUCUA